rnacentral:rRNA from 1 species
UUGUGGAGGGCGUAAGCGAGCGCAGGCGGUUUAUUAAGUCUGAUGUUAAAGGCUGUGGCUUAACCAUUGUUCUGUUUGUAAACUGGUAUACUUGAAUGCCGAAGGGGAGAGUGGAAUUCCAUGUGUAGCGGUGAAAUGCGUAGAUAUAUGGAGGAACCUCGGUGGCGAAAGCGGCUCUCUGGUCUGUAACUGACGCUGAAGCUCGAAAGCGUGGGGAACAAACAGGAUUAAAUACCCUGGUAAUCCACGCCGUAAACGAAGAAUGCUACGUGUUAUGCCCUUUCCGGGGCUUAGUGCCGCAACUAACGCAUUAAUUCCUCCGGCUGGGGAGUACGACCGCAAGGAUGAAACUCAGAGGAAUUGACGGGGGCCCGCACAAGCGGAGGAGCAUGUGGUUUAAUUCGAAGCAACGCGAAGAACCUUACCAGGUCUUGACAUCCCGAUGCUAUUCCUAAAGAUAUUAUCUUUCUUCGGAACAUCAGUGACUGGUGGUGCAUGGUUGUCUCCUGCUCGGGUCGGGAGAUGUUGGGUUAAGUCCCACAACGACCGCUACCCCUAUUGUUAAUUGCCAUCGUUAAGUUGGCCACUCUAACGGCACUGCCGGUAAGAAAGGAGAGGAGGGUGGAGAUGACAUCAAAUCAUCAUGCCCCUUAUGAGCUGCGCUACACACGUGCUGCAAUGGUUGGUACAACGAUUCGCGAGUCGGUGACGGCAAUCAAAUCUCUUACACUCAAUCUCAGAUUCGAGAUUGUAGGCUGCACCUCGCCUACCUGAAGUUCGCAAUCGCUCGUAAUCGCGGCAUCAGCACGCCGCGGUGAAUACGUGUCCCGUGUCUUGUACACACCGUCCCGUCAUACCACCAGAGUUUGUAACACCUGAAUUCGCUGAGGUAUCUUCUUAGAGUCAGCCGCCUGAUGUGGGGAUAGAUGAUUAGCGUGGAGUCGUAAACAAGGAUUA